GAUACUGAUGCCUAAGAAGAACCAGACUGCCAUCUAUGAACUCCUUUUUAAGGAAGCAGUGAUGGUUGCCAAGAAAGAUACCCAUAUACCUAAGACUCCAAGCUGUCAGAUAAGAAACAGUCCAACCUUCAUGUAAUGAAGGCCAUGCAGUCUCUCAAGUCUCAAGGCUACAUGAAGGAGCAGUUUGCAUGGAGACAUUUCUAUUGGUACCUUACAAACAAGAGCGUCUAGUGUCUCCGAGAUCACCUUCACCUACUUCUGGAGAUUGUGCCUGCCACCCUGAGCCACAAUCACUCUAAGAUUAGCAGGCCUUGGCCCAAAGAUCCAGAGGGUAAGUUAUCUGCAAGAGGAGAGAGAGGUAGACAAGGAUACCUACAGAAGGAGUGCUGUGUCUCCUGGGGCUGACAAGAAAAGCUGAGACUGGGGUUGGCUCAGCAACUGAAUUCCAGUUUAGAGAUGGUUUUGGUAGUGGACAUGAUCAGCCAUC
rnacentral:lncRNA from 1 species